AUGACCCGCCGCCGCCGCCGCCGCGGCGCUCGCCCCGCCCCGGCCCCGGCGGCGCUGGAAGACGACGACCUCCUACGGAAGAUUUUCCUCCUCCUCCCGCCUCAACCCUCCACCCUUCCCCGCCUCUCCGUCGUCUGCAAGCAGUGGCGCGACGUCGUCACCGACCCCCAAUUCCUCCGCGGCUUCCGCGACCAACACCGGAGACCUCCCCUCCUCGGCCUCGUCAUGGGCCACACCGGGCCCCCCUACUUCAGGUCCGAUCUCGACCCUCCAGACCACAUCUCGCACGAGCGCUUCUUCCCUCGAGACAUCCGCAGCAUGAACAUAAACGACUGCCGCCAUGGGCGCGUCGUCUUCUUCGCCCAACGGCUGGGCGAGGUCGUGUUUACCGGAAAGGAGAUUGGCGUCUUCAACGCCGCCGUGAUUUGCGUUUCCUGUGAUGAAGGCCACGUGCACGGCGAUUGCCACGCCAGUCCAUUUCAGGUGGUCUUGAUGGGCAUCAGUGAUGACUAUAAACAAGCUUUCGCCUCUGUCUACUCAUCGGAGUCUGGCAUAUGGGGCGAUAUCAUCUCCAUAGAGAAUCGUGAGAUGUAUAAUUUGAGGCAACCCAGUACACUUAUUGGAAAUGCCCUUUACUGGUUGUUUCCUGGAGAUGAUGGGGAAGGCAUACUGGAGUUUGAUUUGGGUAGGCAGAGCCUAGCCAAUAUAGAGAUGCCGCACGGUCUGGAGUACUAUAGGCAUCGCAGUCUUCAGGUCAUUUUAGCAGAUGAUGGCUGUGUCGGCCUCGCCAUUUUGUCGCGCUAUAAUUUUGAAAUGUGGGAGAGGAAAGUCAGUUGUGAUGAUGGUGUUGCUAGAUGGGUGUUGCAGAAGACCAUUCAACUGAACACGAUCCUUGGAUUGGGGCCUAUGGGGGGAAUGCACAAUUUACUAAUGGGGUAUGAUGAAGUUGAUCAUGUGAUUUAUAUAAGGACGGACAUUGGUUUCUGCAUGGUUCGACUCGAGUCAAUGCAGUCCAGGAAUCUCGGCAAGGAGAAUUUCAGCAAUACUGCCUAUCUUCCCUACAGAAGUUUCUAUACUGCAGGUAGUUCUCUGUCUUUACAUUUGAGCAAAUAA
rnacentral:rRNA from 1 species